rnacentral:rRNA from 1 species
GGCGCACGGGUGAGUAACACGUAAGUAAUCUACCUUUGGGUGGGGAAUAACUCAAGGAAACUUGAGCUAAUACCGCAUAAUGCAGCGGCUCCUUCGGGAGACAGUUGUUAAAGCAUUUAUGCGCCUAAAGAGGAGCUUGCGGCAGAUUAGCUAGUUGGUAAGGUAAUGGCUUACCAAGGCAACGAUCUGUAGCCGGCCUGAGAGGGCGGUCGGUCACACUGACACUGAAUAACGGGUCAGACUCCUACGGGAGGCAGCAGUCGGGAAUUUUGGGCAAUGGGCGAAAGCCUGACCCAGCAACGCCGCGUGAAGGAUGAAGUCCCUCGGGAUGUAAACUUCGGAAACAUGGGAAGAAUAAAUGACGGUACCAUGUCUAAGCUCCGGCUAACUACGUGCCAGCAGCCGCGGUAAUACGUAGGGAGCAAGCGUUGUUCGGAUUUACUGGGCGUAAAGGGUGCGUAGGCGGCGCGUCAAGUCACUUGUGAAAUCUCCGGGCUUAACUCGGAACGGCCAAGCGAUACUGUCGCGCUAGAGUGCGGAAU